UACGUAGGGUGCGAGCGUUAAUCGGAAUUACUGGGCGUAAAGCGUGCGCAGGCGGCUUCGCAAGUCAGGCGUGAAAUCCCCGGGCUUAACCUGGGAAUUGCGCUUGAAACUAGCGGGCUUGAGUGUGGCAGAGGGGGGUGGAAUUCCACGUGUAGCAGUGAAAUGCGUAGAGAUGUGGAGGAACACCGAUGGCGAAGGCAGCCCCCUGGGUCAACACUGACGCUCAUGCACGAAAGCGUGGGGAGCAAACAGG
rnacentral:rRNA from 1 species